GUUUUGCUACAGCAUACAUUUUUCUUGGCUUUUGAAAUGUAUUGUGGUGUUUUCUCUCGCUGCAUUGCUCUUUCUCUGUUUCUUGGCUGACACAUGCAGUGGCCUCUGUUUGUUUGGCACCGUGCCCUUGCAUGGCCAAGCUCAGCCCUGGGUCUAUUGCAUUUCGGCCAGAAAUCUUGACCCUGUAAUUCCCAGAGCGUGCAGCUGAGAUCAGGCGGGGCCGUUCAGCUCAGAGGGGAAAGACGAGUAGAGGCGCUGAACAGAUCUGCGAGAGAGUGCAAGUGAGCAGAAAAACGGUUUAGAGAUGUAGAAGUCAGAAAAAGAGUCAGCUGGACUUACUAAGGUUCAUAAAGAGGAAAAGGUUUGGCUGCAGCGUGAAAGUCAUAAAGGUUUGGAACGACAUGAGGAUUUGUCGCACAUUCUCAGAACGGGAGCAGUUCCGGUUUGUGUCAGAUGAAGUCAGUGAGGCCUGGUGUCAAUGACGCUCCGGUUCUUCACACACCUGCUGGAGAUCCAGCAUCACACCUCGCAGCCGCAGAGUCGGACUGUGACCCAGGUAAUGAAGCUUCCAGAGCGGAAGAUCAAAUCACUUUCACACACCCUGAGCCUGGAUGUGUCGGACUAACAAACACCAUAAGCUCUGCAGUGAACUGGGGAAGCAUAUGUCCGCUGGAAUAUUUGUAGCAGAAGAAAAAAAGGGGCAGAGAGAGAGAGAGAGAGUGGGAGACGGCCGAGUUCCCCCAGUAUUCUCAGCAGGCAGGAACAUCUCGGGGUCAGCGGCACAUAUCUGCACGGAUUAUCACGCUGUCACACUCCGCCUCACGCCAGCGGAUAACAAGCCAGCCUGCUGCUGAAAGAGGAGGGGGCACAAGGAGAGAGAGAGAGAGUGACAGAGACGACACACACGUCCACAAACACACACACACACACAACAUAUUUGCAUAACACACGGUCAAGAGUGUGUGCUGCAUAGAGAACAUGAACUUUCUUGUGGCCUAACUAUGUAAAUAACGUGAUUUAAGACACUGUUGGUCUUUACACUGCAACUUAAUUAGUCUUUGGUUUUCCGUUAAAAGUAUCUAAUAAUCGAUAAAACGUGAUCGAUUUACUUGAGACUGAACACUGCAUGAGAUGUUAGGAUUUUUGUUUUAGUUUUUAUCUAAAAGUAAAAAACUACCAGUGCAGUAAGAAACUUAAAUAAAAGAUACAGUCUCUGAAAACUAGUCAUAAUAUUAUCGUAUGCAGUGUUGCAUACAUUUAUGAGGAAUUUUAUCAAUUUUAACUGCAAAAUACUUUUUUAACUGAUAAAAAUACUUUUUUUUUGCUGUUUACUUUUUAAUUGCUGUUAACAAAACAUACAUAAUAAUUACAACACAUAAUUAGUAAGGAUGUACCAAUGUUGACCAAUAUUAUAAAUGUACAGUAUAAUGUCUUCUGUUUAAAAAAAAACAUUUAAAUCUGAAUUUUUACAUUCAUCAAAAUAUUUUAACUUAUGAAAAAAUCAUAAUUAAUUCAAAUGAAUUGAAAAAGAGUUUGAAUUAAAAAAAUAUGCCAAAAUCCCGUCAAAAAACAUUAAUAUUCUUGUAUCCCAACAAAUUGGCAUAUUUGCACACACUUUAGUGAUCUUAUGUGAAUGUGAGCCCUUUUUAAUCUUUUCUUUUUCCCUUUUUCU